ACCCAGAGGGAAUCAUAUUAGGGAAUGAUAUUAAGUGAAAUUAUAUCCUCAUUGCCAUUCUUCACCAUACAUUGAUGGUGUGCCAUUAUUUGCUCCCAGGCUGAUUUACCGCCAAGACUGUAAGAAAGCAUUGCAGUAAGCUGACGUCCCAAGGCAACAUGAAGAAAUUAAAAAGGAUAUUAAUCCAGGGAUAUUUGAAUGUCAUUUGAUUGUAUUGUAAAUGUAUAGGCUAAAAUCAUAAAAUUGGAGGAAGAUGCUGUAAAGGCCAGGAGUCCCCUGGUGCCUCCUCUACCUUUAUGUAGUCAAACCAUUUUAAUAGUUUGAAUUCUUACCCAAGGCCUUCCAAGAGCCUUCCUUCACAUUCACUACAGCUGUACAACUUACACACUUAUCCAAUGUGCUGACCCUGCGCUGAG